rnacentral:rRNA from 1 species
CUGGAACUUAUGAAAAAGUAGUUUUAUCAGGUAAAGCGAAUGAUUAGAGGCUUUGGGGAAGAAACUUCCUCGACCUAUUCUCAAACUUUAAAUAGGUAAGAUUUGAAGGAUACUUAGGUGAUCUUUCAAUAUUUUGAAUAUAAAGUUCUUAGUGGGCCAUUUUUGGUAAGCAGAACUGGCGAUGUGGGAUGAACCGAACGUUAAGUUAAAGUGCCAAAUAAUACGCUCAUGAGAUACCAUAAAAGGUGUUGGUUCAUUUUGACAGCAGGACGGUGGCCAUGGAAGUCGGAACCCGCUAAGGAGUGUGUAACAACUCACCUGCCGAAUGAACUAGCCCUGAAAAUGGAUGGCGCUUAAGCGUAUAACUUAUACUUAACCCUUACUUGAAUUAUUAUAGCGAGUAAGGAGUAGGAGGG